CCCACUGGCCAAUGACGGGUAUGGGCCUUGAGAGAGGGAGCCCAGAGAUGGAUUCUGAGACACGAAUCCAGGCCCUACGGGGCGCAGCAGUCGCGAAAACUUCACAAUGGGGGCAACCCCGAUGAGGGAAUUCCUAGUGCUAGCACAUUAGUGUUAGCUUUUCUUUAGCGUAGAUAACUAGAGGAAUAAGGGCUGGGUAAGACGGGUGCCAGCCGCCGCGGUAAUACCCGCAGCCCAAGUGGUGGUCGAUUUUAUUGAGUCUAAAACGUUCGUAGCCGGUUUGAUAAAUCUUUGGGUAAAUCGGAAAGCUUAACUUUCCGACUUCCGAGGAGACUGUCAAACUUGGGACCGGGAGAGGCAAGAGGUACUUGGGGGGUAGGGGUAAAAUCCUGUAAUCCUUCAAGGACCACCGGUGGCGAAGGCGUCUUGCUAGAACGGAUCCGACGGUGAGGGACGAAGCCCUGGGUCGCAAACGGGAUUAGAUACCCCGGUAGUCCAGGGUGUAAACGCUGCAGACUUGGUGUUGGGGACCCUUUGGGGGUGUUCAGUGCCGGAGAGAAGUUGUUAAGUCUGCUACUUGGGGAGUACGUCCGCAAGGAUGAAACUUAAGGGAAUUGGCGGGGGAGCACCGCAACGGGAG
rnacentral:rRNA from 1 species